AUCAGGUAGCGACGAUUUUCUGUGCUUGCAGGACCACAUUCCUGAUACCUGGGUGUACCAUAUCAUGGGUAGUUAGUUAUUGUCAUUGCCAGUGUCAGGUACUUGGGCUAACCCUUCUGGAUAUAUGUGGUUCGCACACUGGCUUAGAGAGAUUUCGGGCUAUCCAACAAUUCUGCUCCAGUUGCGAGUUGGAUUGUUGAUGGAAAUCCUUUGCGACAACGCAGUUCACUAAACACGGC
rnacentral:sRNA from 1 species